AUUAGUUACUGAAUCAUCUUAAACUGUUUUUGAUGGAGAAAAAGAGGAGAAACGAUCAUUUUUUUCGAGGGAAUUUAUACAUUUAGGAAGUAAUAAUCCUAAAGUGAGAGAUGAAGCAGGUGCAAAGUGGUUUAAUGUACCACGUGGUGACUCACGUGUUUUACCGGGGUAAACAACGAUUCCUAUCCUGAAGGAUGCGUUUUAUCCUGUUUAUAUUUAAGCGUGCAUUCGUAAAUGCAGAGGCGCAGCAUUACAUAUACUGGAGGUUACGCUUCUGCUUCACUUUUCUGUUCACUCGUCGGAAGGCAUAUACAACGCCAGCAGAACAAUUGGCAAGUAUUAAAUUGACCUGUGAAAAAGCAGCAUACUCUAUGUAUGCACUCAAAGGGCCUACAUACGCAAGUACAACCGCAACAGUUAUCGAUG